AGCCCAAUAGCUAGCCCCACCCACCAAUUGCAACAACUCCCCAUCACUAACCCCAAAACCACUAAACCAAGCAAACAAAUCAUUUUUCCCCCUUAGUAUAGGCGAUAGAAAAGGAAACAUGGCGCGAUAGAAAUAGUACCGCAAGGGAACGCUGAAAGAGAAAUGAAAUAAACCCUCAAAGCAGAAAAAAGCAAAGAUUUUAUCUUGUACCUUUUGCAUCAUGAUUUAGCUAGUCAUAGUCAAGCAAAGGGUACUUUAGUUUGACCCCCCGAAACUAAGUGAGCUACUCCGAGACAACCUAUUAGUAGGGUGAACCCGUCUCUGUGGCAAAAGAGUGGGAAGAGCUCUGAGUAGAGGUGACAGACCUACCGAACUUAGUAAUAGCUGGUUGUCUGAGAAUUGGACAGGAGUUCAGCCCCUUGGGUUCUUAAUUCAAUUUAGCCACUAUUAAUUUGAUACCCAGAAACCAAGGGAGUUAAUCAAAGGGGGGACAGCCCCUUUGAUAAAAGACACAACUUUAACAGCGGGAUAAAGAUCAUACUUAACUUAAAGGUUUUAUGUUGCAGUGGGCCUAAAAGCAGCCAUUCUGAAAGAAAGCGUUAAAGCUCGAACAUAAUUUACCCCUGCUAAUACUGAUAAUUUUAUCUUAUUCCCCUAACCAUACCGGACCUAUCCAUGCUAACAUGGAUACGAUAAUGCUAAUAUGAGUAAUAAGGGGUCUCAUAGGCCCCUCCUAGCAUAAGUGUACCUCGGAACGGAAACUCCGCCGAAAAUUAACGGCCCCAUUAAAAGAGGGUACUGAUCAAAAAAAUAAACAACAAGAAAAGCAGCCAUCAAACGACCGUUAACCCCACACUGGAAUGCUUCGUAGGAAAGACUAAAAGAAAAAGAAGGAACUCGGCAAACACAUCAAGCCUCGCCUGUUUACCAAAAACAUCGCCUCUUGCAAAAUUAACGAAUAAGAGGUCCCGCCUGCCCUGUGACUGUAAGUUUAACGGCCGCGGUAUUUUGACCGUGCAAAGGUAGCGCAAUCACUUGUCUUUUAAAUGGAGACCUGUAUGAAUGGCAUAACGAGGGCUUAGCUGUCUCCUUUUUCAAGUCAAUGAAAUUGAUCUCCCCGUGCAGAAGCGGGGAUACUUACAUAAGACGAGAAGACCCUAUGAAGCUUUAGACACCAAAGCAGCUCAAGUUAAACACCCCCUCAUAAGGGACUAAACCAUGUGAAUCCUGCCCUAAUGUCUUUGGUUGGGGCGACCGCGGGGGAUAAAAAGCCCCCAUGUGGAAUGAGAUUAAUUCUCUUAAAACUAAGAGCUACCGCUCUAAUAAACAGAACUUCUGACCUAAAGAUCCGGCAAUGCCGAUCAGCGGACCGAGUUACUCUAGGGAUAACAGCGCAAUCCUCUUUUAGAGCCCAUAUCGACAAGGGGGUUUACGACCUCGAUGUUGGAUCAGGACAUCCUAAUGGUGCAGCCGCUAUUAAGGGUUCGUUUGUUCAACGAUUAAUAGUCCUACGUGAUCUGAGUUCAGACCGGAGUAAUCCAGGUCAGUUUCUAUCUAUGAAGUGCUCUUUUCUAGUACGAAAGGACCGAAAAGAAAGGGCCCAUACUUAAAGCAUGCCCUUCCCUUAUCUAGUGAAAACAACUAAACCAGAUAAAAGGGCACACUCCUUUUAUACCUGAGAGAAAGGUAA
rnacentral:rRNA from 1 species